rfam:Orenia sp. Z6 2524618310, whole genome shotgun sequence.
GGGGAUGUGGUGGAGUUGGUUACCACGCCGGCCUGUCACGCCGGAGGUCGCGAGUUCGAGUCUCGUCAUCCUCG